rnacentral:rRNA from 1 species
AACGAACGCUGGCGGCAGGCUUAACGCAUGCAAGUCGAACGCCCCGCAAGGGGAGUGGCAGACGGGUGAGUAACGCGUGGGAACGUACCUUUCAGUUCGGAAUAACUCAGGGAAACUUGUGCUAAUACCGGAUACGUCCGUAAGGAGAAAGAUUUAUCGCUGAAAGAUCGGCCCGCGUUGGAUUAGCUAGUUGGUGGGGUAAUGGCCUACCAAGGCGACGAUCCAUAGCUGGUCUGAGAGGAUGAUCAGCCACACUGGGACUGAGACACGGCCCAGACUCCUACGGGAGGCAGCAGUGGGGAAUAUUGGACGAUGGGCGAAAGCCUGAUCCAGCCAUGCCGCGUGAGUGAUGAAGGCCUUAGGGUUGUAAAGCUCUUUCACCGAUGAAGAUAAUGACGGUAGUCGGAGAAGAAGCCCCGGCUAACUUCGUGCCAGCCGCCGCCGUAACAC